rnacentral:ncRNA from 1 species
GGCAACUUGCCCCCAAAGGGGGGUGGUUCCAAUGGAAAAAUUAAUAUCGCUAGUCAUUGCGCCUAUUUUUGUAGGUAUUGUUAUUAAACUUUUUUCUCACUGGUUAGAUGAGAAAGACAAUGACUAAAAGCAAGUUGCUUCUAACCCGCACAUUCGAAGUCGCAACGAAUGUAAAA